UCCUUUUACUUCAGUGAGCCUUUUCUUCGAACCUUGAAAGAUAGUUCUAUUGGUUACUUCAGCUUCACCAUUUCACUGUGGAUGUCCAACAGAAGUGAGUCGGUGAUCCAUAUGAAGCUUGAAGCAAAAUUUUUUGAAUUUAGGAUUGUCAAACUACAAACCAUUAUCAGUGAUGAUUAUCCGAGGUAAACCAAAUAGGCAUAUUAUAGAUUUUUAGAUAAAAUCCUGCAUCUUUUUCUCUA
rnacentral:lncRNA from 1 species